ACGCUGGCGGCAGGCUUAACACAUGCAAGUCGAACGGUAACAGGAGAAAGCUUGCUUUCUUGCUGACGAGUGGCGGACGGGUGAGUAAUGCUUGGGAAUCUGGCUUAUGGAGGGGGAUAACGACGGGAAACUGUCGCUAAUACCGCGUAGAGUCGAGAGACGAAAGUGCGGGACCGCAAGGCCGCAUGCCAUAGGAUGAGCCCAAGUGGGAUUAGGUAAUUGGUGGGGUAAUAGCCUACCAAGCCGACGAUCUCUAGCUGGUCUGAGAGGAUGACCAGCCACACCGGGACUGAGACACGGCCCGGACUCCUACGGGAGGCAGCAGUGGGGAAUAUUGCGCAAUGGGGGCAACCCUGACGCAGCCAUGCCGCGUGAAUGAAGAAGGCCUUCGGGUUGUAAAGUUCUUUCGGUAUUGAGGAAGGUUGUUGUGUUAAUAGCACGACAAAUUGACGUUAAAUACAGAAGAAGCACCGGCUAACUCCGUGCCAGCAGCCGCGGUAAUACGGAGGGUGCGAGCGUUAAUCGGAAUAACUGGGCGUAAAGGGCACGCAGGCGGACUUUUAAGUGAGGUGUGAAAUCCCCGGGCUUAACCUGGGAAUUGCAUUUCAGACUGGGAGUCUAGAGUACUUUAGGGAGGGGUAGAAUUCACGUGUAGCGGUGAAAUGCGUAGAGAUGUGGAGGAAUGCCGAAGGCGAAGGCAGCCCCUUGGGAAUGUACUGACGCUCAUGUGCGAAAGCGUGGGGAGCAAACAGGAUUAGAUACCCUGGUAGUCCACGCUGUAAACGCUGUCGAUUUGGGGAUUGGGCCUUAAGCUUGGUGCCCGAAGCUAACGUGAUAAAUCGACCGCCUGGGGAGUACGGCCGCAAGGUUAAAACUCAAAUGAAUUGACGGGGGCCCGCACAAGCGGUGGAGCAU
rnacentral:rRNA from 1 species